rnacentral:rRNA from 1 species
ACGGAGGAUGCAAGCGUUAUCCGGAUUCAUUGGGUUUAAAGGGUGCGUAGGCGGGGUAAUAAGUCAGUGGUGAAAGCCUACAGCUUAACUGUAGAAUUGCCGUUGAUACUGUUAUCCUUGAGUAUAGUUGAGGUAGCUGGAAUGUGUGGUGUAGCGGUGAAAUACAUAGAUAUCAACCAGAACACCAGAAGGCAAGGCGGGUUACUAAUCUUUAACUCACUAGUAGGCCCGUGAGCGUGUGGUGCGGUCUG